UACGGAGGGUGCAAGCGUUGUUCGGAAUUACUGGGCGUAAAGGGCGCGUAGGCGGUGCAGUAAGUCAGAUGUGAAAGCCCUGGGCUCAACCCAGGAAGUGCAUUUGAAACUGCUGUACUUGAGUAUGGGAGAGGAGAGUGGAAUUCCCAGUGUAGAGGUGAAAUUCGUAGAUAUUGGGAGGAACACCCGUGGCGAAGGCUACUCUCUGGACCAAUACUGACGCUGAGUCGCGAAAGCUUGGGGAGCAAACAGG
rnacentral:rRNA from 1 species